ensembl:lncRNA
GUGUGUGUGUGUGUGUGUGUGUGUGUGUGUGUGUGUGUGUGUGUGUGUGUGUGUGUGUGUGAGCCUGAAACAACCAAACAACUGCAGAUAUGUCCAAAAUAAAGCCAAUAAUAAAGUGAAAUUAAUAAGGGAGUGGGAGGAAGUGAUGUUGGGGAGAGGAAAAAUGCAGGAGCGAGAAGAGCCCUCCGCUAGAAGAGAGAGAAAGGGAGGAACAUCAAAGGAUCAACGGGAAAAAGAGGGAGGGAAAGGUAAAAGAAAGAAUAGAAAAGAGGGAAGCAGCCCAAUGGAUAAGCAAGAGAAAGAGGUUGUUGUUGCGCUGUCUCGUUUCACGUGUCGCGUUUUGUUUUCAUUCUUCUCCUUGUUGCGGUCGAGGUGGCAGGAAGUCCGGCCCGGCUCGGUUCAAACCCUUAACCCAGAUUAACCAGCGAUUCCCAGAGAAUGAAAUGCAUGCACCCUUGCAGCCUACUGUACUGCCCCCAGAGCAGAGAGAGGAGUGAAGAAGAAGGGUUGGAGGCAGCUGGAGGAACCAGAGGACGCGACUAAAGUUUCCACCCGUCGCUGCUUUAGGCAUCCACUCUCCCCACAUCUCUCCCUCACCCUCUUUGUCUCUCCAUCUCUCACCCUCUCCAUGUAGGUCUCUGGAUAAUUGCCUAGUCUCUCUCUCUCUCUUACUCCCUCGCUCCUCCAGAACCUGCAUGUCUUCCUCCCUCAUCUCUCUUUCUGCGCUUCCAUCCGCCUCCGUUUGUCUUCUCUGCCUGUAUGGGUCUCUCGUACUCUCCCGUGUCCUCUUAGGUUUGUGUGUCUCUCACUCUGUCUGCCUGAUGCAGUGUUGCCUCUCUUGCAGUCACACACACACACACACACACACACACACACACACACACACACACACACACACACACACACACACACACACACACACACACACACACACACACACACACACACACACACACACACGUGAGUACUUGCAGGCCAACAAAAGUACUUGUGCCGGCCAGAAACGUAAUUAAAAAGUAAUUAAUGGCAAAUAUAAGUAUUCCACAGCCCUAUAAUGGAAGGAUGAGUCUUGAAAAAUCACAAUAAAUGCCACCGCUGCAGCAAGUUCCUUAAUAUACACCAUCAAAGUUUCCAUUGACCCAUCGCGCCGCAUAGUAGCAAAACACAUCCGCUUUGGUAACAGGCACAAGCUUCUGAAAAACGUGUAACCCAAACUAUAGGAGAUCUGAUUAUGGGGCCAAUUGGCGGCGAACCAUGGAGUGGACCAAAGGAAUGCCGCAGGAGAUUUCAAGGGUUAAUCUGCGCUUGGGGAAUGGAGCUGUUUUUGUUUUAGCAAAGCCGCUUGUGUCGUGCAAAGAGUCAGAAGGUGGAAUGAAGCUCUCCUCAGUGAGCCACGGGUGGGGUAGUUGGAGGCUUACUAUCGGCAGAAAGGGGGGAGAGAGCGAGAGCCCGUUUUCAGUCACUUUAACCGCAUUAAAUAGGUCACAGGCGAUAGGUAGUAACAACUUUCCCUGGACACAUAAAUACAUAUACUCACUUCAAUUGGAAUUAAACGGGAGGCUUGUAUAGAAGGCAGAUCAUUUUCUGCUGAUGCCUUCCAAGUUAAAAUGUCGUGUGUGUUGGCACACAUAGUUGCGUACACGCACACACACCCACAGCUAACUAUAAGCCAAGGAAUCCAAGUCACACACACAAACACUGACCACAGGGAAAUGGUUUCUCCCCUACAAUUCCAGCCUGCCGUAGAACUCCCCUUUCCAGCACCACCUCCCAGGACUCCAUCAGCUCCGGGCAGAGGAGGCACCCCACCCAUGAAAAAGUCAGUGAGGCGCGCAGCACACACACACACACACACACACACACACUUUUGGUCAGUGACAAUCAAUUGACAAUCCUGUUUUCCCAAUGUUAUCAAACGCAUACAACUCAGAUUGAAAACCUCAAUGAAAGCUGUAAAUUACCCCAUGUGGUACCCGUUUUCUCAGAAACCAUAACCAGCAACACCCCACCCCAAAAACAAGGAACAAAAAAAUAGAGCAUUCUCUGAACAGGCUGACAUUCUACGAGAGUUGCGACAUACAAAUGACUCCCGCCAGGCCCUCCCUCCCAGCCUAGGAGUAACGUGGCCUGCAGUGUACCAAGGCCAAGGGUGGCGACAAGGCAUCCCACGCACCCCGGGGAGUCAUUUAGGUGGGACGGGCACCGCACCCUUGUGGUGGCGGCGAUGGAUGGCCUCCCCGUAAUCACCCCAGGGUGAUGACACGUCCUCCGGGCACCACAAGGUUCCAUGUGGGCCUUUUCACUUCUUGUUUUCUGGGUCAUGCCCAUGUUUUUGAAAGGGUGUGGAUGGGUGGAUCUGGAGCUCUGCCAACACCCAUUGAAAAGAAAAUGUUGUAGAUGCUAAAGUGUGUUUUUUCAGGAAAAUGUUUAGACCAGAAAUUAAAUAGUGACACUGGUAUCUAGAACUAAAUAUAGGAAGAGGUGUGUGUUGUUUUCCCAUUAUCCAUAUUGAAGUCGCGUUUAAUAAAAUCUAGGACUAAAAUACAAUGAUGAAUUAAUUCAACAAAUGAAAAGGGGGGACAUUUAGACAAUUACUAAAAACCGAGGAGAAUAGAAUACAGCUAAGACGUGUCAAAUCUGCAUUUUUCGAAAGGAAGUAGGUGUGGUUGCAUGAGUCGACUCCUCAUAUAGCCAAAUUGUUAUGAGUAUGCCAACAUGUAUAUGCUAGCAAAGCUUAUUCGCAAACAUGCCAAGUUUCCAUUCCCUGGGCCACUUGAAGCUGACUUUUGAUUGAAUGGAUAGUUCUUGUUGCAUUUGCAUUUGUUUACUCUCUGUCAUUUAGGAUCAAGGUUUGUGAGCAAAAGGAAAAUACUUUUAAUGUACAGGAAAAAUCUAUACAGAGCUCAUGAUUUAUUUGGGAAGAAAUAAUCAGUAUGUGAAAUAAGGCCCAUAUACUAAGUUUAUUUAGAUUUUGUCAAAUGGGACAAAUGGGACAAGGGGCUGAUUGAACAUCUUUGACUAUCAUUUAUAGCGCCCCUUGUGGCCAAAGUGGUGCCUUACUUUGUGUGCAAACCUGCUUAUGUGUGGUUUCUAUAUGUGUACCAAAUUUGGGUUGUUGUCCCAGUUGUUCACCUUGAGCGAUUAAUGUCAGCGUUUUUUUACCCAUUCCCUUUUCAUAAUAAAUAAUAAUAUUCCAAAAAGGAUACAAUAUUUUAAGCAUAAAAGUAAUUGUGCACUUCACUAAUACAUGCCAAAUUCUUUGCCAUGGUUUGGUAUAGGAAGAGAUAGCUAUGGAAAAUAAGGUGGAAUAAAAAUAACAAUAGCCCUUGACACCCAACCCAACCAAUGCUAAAAUAAUUAGACUAACUAAAUAGUAAACAGGGGAACAUUCAGACAAGCACUUACAAAGACGGAGAGACAGGAGACCGAGAGACAACACAGCCAGGGCAGGUCAGGUAACCAGAGAUGCAGACUGACUGUGUGCGCUUUACAUUUUUUCCCAUGCCCUCUGUUCUCAACACACACACACACACACACACACACACACACACACACACACACACACACACACACACACACACACACACACACACACACACACACACACACACACACACACACACACACACACACAGGUUUAUUGUUUGUGUGUGGGAAAAAUAGUUAUUGUGUUUAAUCCUGGUUAAACAACAACCCACACCGCUCCCCACCUCUGCCAGCUACCUUUGACUCUAUUUGGGGUGGAGAGAGGGUCCAAGGGCAGGACAGGUGAAUAAACUACCCCAACCAUCUGGGGGCAAAACAUUGUUGGGAAAUAUCCCCGAAGGCUGGGAUUUACCACCAUGAAUAUAACUAGUUAUUUCAAAGACAAACACUUUCUCAGCCUUCUUUGCAGCGCUGACCAAUCACCAAGGGCCUGUAUCACCUUAACAACAUGUUGUAUACCUCACACACACACACACACCUAACCAGCUAUGAGGAUAAGCUCGCUGACGAAUAAGUCAUCUUUCUGGAGAUUUUCUGGUGGGUUCCAGUCUGGUGUCACGUCCACCGCUGCUUCCAGAGUUAAUGAUUGUUGAGGUUAGCAGAUUCAUGACCAGAGUUCUCUCACACACACACACCAAAUAAGGGAAAAACGAACACAUUUCAACCACCUUCACACUUUCAGUACACAUACAAACAGGUCCAGUUCACACACGCACACAUCCGACACAAACACACGCGCAGAUCCACAACACACAUACACACACACACACAAACACACACACGCUGAGGCACUGAACUACUUGAUCAGCAGAAGACCAUGUCUAAGCCCUUCAUUUAGCCAUUCCAGCCAUGUCUGCUGUUUUUCCUAGGUCUUUUUUUGUUCUAGUUACUGCACCGAACUAAGCAAUGUGGUAAAUUUCCCUCCUUGAGCAAUAAAAGUAAACACUACUUUUUUU